ACACCGGCAGCUCAAGUGGUGGCCAUUUUUAUUGGGCCUAAAGCGUUCGUAGCCGGUUUGAUAAGUCUCUGGUGAAAUCCCGCAGCUUAACUGUGGGACUUGCUGGAGAUACUAUUAGACUUGAGGUCGGGAGAGGUUAGGGGUACUCCCAGGGUAGGGGUGAAAUCCUAUAAUCCUGGGAGGACCACCUGUGGCGAAGGCGCCUAACUGGAACGAACCUGACGGUGAGUAACGAAAGCCAGGGGCGCGAACCGGAUUAGAUACCCGGGUAGUCCUGGCCGUAAACGAUGUGGACUUGGUGUUGGAAUGGCCUCGAGCUGCUCCAGUGCCGAAGGGAAGCUGUUAAGUCCACCGCCUGGGAAGUACGGUCGCAAGACUGAA
rnacentral:rRNA from 1 species